rnacentral:rRNA from 1 species
GACGAACGCUGGCGGCGCGCCUAACACAUGCAAGUCGAACGGAGCUGAGAGGAGCUUGCUUUUCUUAGCUUAGUGGCGAACGGGUGAGUAACGCGUGAGUAACCUGCCCUGGAGUGGGGGACAACAGUUGGAAACGACUGCUAAUACCGCAUAAGCCCACGAUCCGGCAUCGGAUUGAGGGAAAAGGAUUUAUUCGCUUCAGGAUGGACUCGCGUCCAAUUAGCUAGUUGGUGAGGUAACGGCCCACCAAGGCGACGAUUGGUAGCCGGACUGAGAGGUUGAACGGCCACAUUGGGACUGAGACACGGCCCAGACUCCUACGGGAGGCAGCAGUGGGGGAUAUUGCACAAUGGGGGAAACCCUGAUGCAGCGACGCCGCGUGGAGGAAGAAGGUUUUCGGAUUGUAAACUCCUGUCGUUAGGGACGAUAAUGACGGUACCUAACAAGAAAGCAC